ACCACUACCUCUCUCUUCCUUCGGAUAGCUUUUUCCAGACUCUUAAAUGAGUUGUUGUUUUGGUCUAAGUUGCUGCUUAUCUUCUCAUUUAUCGAACAUAUCUCUCUUUCUCUGGAAAAAACCAGUCCACCGCAGCCCAACAUAAAUCCAGCGCACAGCGACAAUCAUCAUACCAAAUGGCUCGUCGUCCAUCGAUUCCAGAUCUCCAGGAAUGAAAGAAACACCAGAUUCAGAUCGAUCGAUCUCUACUAGCAAAUCUACUUGAAGAACCAUG
rnacentral:lncRNA from 1 species